rnacentral:rRNA from 1 species
AUUGAACGCUGGCGGCAGGCCUAACACAUGCAAGUCGAACGAGUGGCGGACGGGUGAGUACUGUCUGGGAAUCUGCCUGAUGGAGGGGGAUAACUACUGGAAACGGUAGCUAAUACCGCAUACCAUCGGAUCUGUCCAGAUGGGAUUAGCUAGUAGGUGGGGUAAAGGCGCACCUAGGCGACGACCCCUAGCUGGUCUGAGAGGAUGACCAGCCACACUGGAACUGAGACACGGUCCAGAGUCCUACGGGAGGCAGCAGUGGGGAAUAUUGCACAAUGGGGGAAAGCCUGAUGCAGACAUGCCGCGUGUGUGAAGAAGGCCUUCGGGUUGUAAAGCACUUUCAGCGAGGAGGCGUUACUCGCAGAAGAAGCACCGGCUAACUCCGUGCCAGCCGCCGCGGUAAUUC